rnacentral:lncRNA from 1 species
GUUAAGUUAAUGAUCAAAUUCAUUUUUAUUAUUUACAUAAAAAAUUACAUCUAUAUGAGUUAUUGGUGCUUUAGCUCCCAAUCUGAUUUGGAUACAAAAUACCAAACUUAAAAAAUUCAAGUGUCCCAAUAAUAGAAAUAGCUGAAAUUGCCUUAAAUUCAAAUGUCUCAAUAAUAGAAAUAGUCGAAAUUGUCCCUGCAAUAAAAAAAUUCAGAACAAAAUUAGUAGUAAUGAAAGGAACAUUACCAUUAGUCAACAACAAUACUAUAACAUUUGAAAUUUUUUUCAGAUCACACCUAACAAGUGGACAACAUCCAAUUAUUACUAACAAUCGAUAUCAAUGAGACUAUUUAGAUAGUGAUUCAUUAAUCUGAGUCAAUAUUCAAUACAAGAUUCAUGUAUAAAAUAGAUAAAUAUUUACACACAAGAGAUCCAUCUCGAGUAGGUUCAGUUUUGUAUUGAAUCAAGAUUCGAUUUGCAUGCUCACUAAAUAUAAUGUACCAUUCAUAAAACUUCCCAUAUUCACUAAACAUUAAUCGUCACAUAUCCCUUUUUUAAUUAAGAUUUAUUGCAUUGAAAACAAAUUAGCAAAAAUAAACAAGAGAAAAUUGUUCAUCAUAUGAUUGUAUGAGGAAAACAAUCUGUAACUUUUAAGUAGUUACAAGAAAACUACUUCUUCUAUAAUAUAUCUCCUACUGUAUGAUGCAUAAGACUCUAGUUAUAGGAAAAUGUUUUUCUUAUAUAAACAGAGAUUGCAGGAUAACUCAGAAAAUUGUACAACAAUCAUUUAUUACAAAUCUGCUUCAGCUAAUUUUUGAAAUAAACUUAAUAAUCACAAACUAAAAUCCCAAAGCUAACAAUAUCAUACAGAGAAGAAGAACCGAGAUUCAAAAUGGUUAAAGCUUAGAAUUGCAAACCUGGUGAUUCCAGUGGCAACAAUCACAUAGAAAACUCAAAUGUCCUUGCUGAAUCAAACAAUUCAAUGUUAUUUACUUAAAAAACAUAAAAGAGGAUAUUUAGGGAUUGACAGAAAAACAUAGGAAUUGUCAAAGAUGAGAAUUAAGGAGUGAGAGAUUACGAGUAUAAUAGUAACAGAUUGCAAAUAUUAGAUUUUUUGAACCCAAAUUUAUAAAUCCAAAUCAAAUAAAAAUGCGAGAUAAAGGGCAUCCUCACCUUUGUAGAGAGACAGAAAUAUAAUACAGAACGAAGAUGGAGUCAUGAUAAAAUAUAAAAUAUGAAGGACAUCUCAGAAAGUGGCUGGAAUGACAGAGGCCAAAGUGUGGAGGCGCUCAAGGAAAAGGAAGAGGAACACGACGACUAGGGUUCUAU